rnacentral:lncRNA from 14 species
AAUGGCAGCAGCAGUGAAGGGCUGGCACCUUGCUGUGCUCGGGGCUCAGCAGUGGCAGCAGCUUGAGGGAGAACAUGCACUGCCUCUCCGGAUAAAUGCUGCAGGGUGUAAACACAACAGCCCUUAUUCCUGAGGAGUCCCCACUGAUGGGGAAGGACAGGAUGGGUCAUGCAGCCUCUCAGGAGUGUUUUAGGAGAUUAUCCAGGCUGCCAAACUGUAUAUCAGCUUAAUUCGGGAGGGAAACAGGGCUCUCUGCUUUAAUGAUCUGAGUGGAAAGAAGAAGAUAAUGUUAUUCCAUUUCCCUGGAUGCUUCCACAGCAAAGCAAGGAGGAGUACAGCUGGGGAAGGAUUACCCCCAGCAUCUCCCUGCUGCUGCACCUGGGGGGCCUGGUUUCUGGAAGAAGAGCAAGGGUCCAACAUGGGCAGAAGACCUAAUCUUACAAACCCAAGAGGGUACAAGAGUCUGGAGAGCUUCCCCAGAGAGGGACUUCUGCACCCAGGAUAUGCCAGAUGAAUCUUCCUUCCAGCCUGGCCUGGCUUCCAGCCACUGGAUGUAUGGGGACACAAAAGACUGCCUGGAGGAAGAGAGGAAUGUGCCCUGGGUGCUGUUUGUCUGGCACAUUGCUACUGAGAGUGAGGCUGUUUGUCACUGGAUAGCCCUGAUGAUGCUCCCUGAGGAACCACAACUGCAGGCAGUGGAGAUGAAUCAGGUCUGCCAGGAUAAUUGUGGCAGAUAAGAGGGAACUGAAGCCUCCAGCCUAGUUGGAGAGAAAGAAGACUGCUGAGGAAAGAGAGGCAAGCUCACAGUGCCUGGAGAUGCAGAGCACAGCCAGCCUGGAGAGCAAGAACCAGCAUGCCCAGCCUCAAUCAGGGAGGCUCUUUUCACAUGCCAGCCACGCACACAUCUUGGCUGACAGCACUUGCUUCCCAAUGACAUGACAGAGAGGAAGAAAAUCAGAGCUGGCUGGAACAUGGACUCCAUAGUGAGAGCUCAGGAACAGCAUGAAAACCAUCAGAAACGUGAGAGGGGAGGUAAAAACAUUACCUGUAGCUCCCAGUGUGACUGAGCAGGG